UAUCUCUUGCUGGACCCACUCUCAUCUACAAAUCCGAUAAAUGCUGUGAGUGUAGAAGACACUCAAAGUAAGCCUAAUACUUUUGUAAAUGGGUUAAGCUGCAUAUGAACAUUGGUGAACCCAAGAAAAAUGUCUUUCGUGUUAUAACUUAUAUUUUGUUCCGGAGGGUUUGGAACUAUAUAGUGCUUUCGGAACAGUCUGCAACAAUUGUUAAAUCAACUUACUUUAAGCAAGUGACCUGUAUCGGAGCAAAAAAAUAUCCUUAAAAUAUCCUUUUUUGCGAAAUGGGUUUGGGCUGGAAUACAAAUCAUUGUGGCUUAAUGGUUUUCCAUUUAAAAUACAGCAGAUCCAUCAGCCACAAUAGCAUUGAUAUGAGCACCAUUCACCUCACACGCGACAACACUUUCCCAAAACAAAGAUGCUAGUUGCAACGCUGGAGUUGUGGGCCACCAAAACAGAGAAAUUGAAAGUUCUUUUUUAAACGAUCGGACAUAAAACACUGCAAGAAAAAAGUAUUUUUUUAAUCACAUAAGUUAAAAAUAUGGGUGGCAAGUUUGUCAGGUGUCACUCUAUCAUCAUAGGUCAGGUGUCACUCUAUCAUCAUAGUAAGGCCAAUAAGCGAAAAUUUUCAUAACCAAAUUUUCUUUAACUAAUAGUUAGUAUUCCAAUAACCUAAUUUACACAUUACUCUUGCCUUAUAUGAGGAACUAAAUCUUGUUCUGGUAUCCAAUAUUCCAGUGAAGUUUUUCCUGGUAGUUAUUGAUCAUUUGUUUGUAUAUUUAAGCACAAUAUUACAAAUAGUAUAUUCAAAACUGCUAAAAGAUGCUGAUGUUGUUAUAAAUGAUAAAUUGACAUUCUUUCGACAAACCUCUUGUUUGUAAAGAUAAUUUGCUGGUACACUUUUUCUAUGCAGCUAUGGCGAGUUGCAUCUGGUAACGGUUUCGGGUAACUCGUCCACGACUCUUCUAAAAAUGCAUUUAGUAUAUAAACAAAAUGCAUAUGGGUUCAAGAACAGGAGUUUACCUUUACAAGUAUACCACAUUUUUAGGCAAAUACUCAGAUCGAAAUGCACCACAUUUUUAAUUCCAUCCUUGAAUGAUAGGAAAAUAUGUACUCUAGUUUAAAGUGCGCUUCUACAUGCUCUAAAUAAAUUACCGUUUAAACGGAA